AUGAUUCUACCAACCUUGACACAAAUGCCCAGCUGCCCCCUGUUCAGUCCCACAGAGAAAAGCCUUGCAGGACAGGUUGAGUUUGUGGAUGGGCAUGGGGUAGAAGGUAUCAUCUCUUCUCUAUCAAUGACUUGGGUGAUACUUCUGGCAACAAAACAGACAGUUGUCGGCCUCUGUGUUUUCAUUUGUCCACCUGAAGAUUAGACAAGAGGCAGCAUGGGGUAGUGGAUAAAUCGUGGACCAGGAUUGAAGCGAAGAUCUGCUCAUCUGGGACACUCACCAGGUUGCCUAUGAGUGGACCAGAUGGAUAAAGCAGAGACCUUCACUUGAAGGGGUCCAGCAGAUCAGGUGACCACUUAAUGUCCCCUGAAAUGUCAAGAAAAAAAGAGUCCAGCCCAAAGGUUCAGCCUCUCCAUCAGAUGUCCAGGCAACCUGGAACAACUCUUGACGCAUGAUCUCAAACCAGACAAGCUACAUAAUCUGUGGGGCCUAAGGUUACAUUCCGUAGAAGCAGAUCCUGAGAAGAUGAUGAAGUGCCCAUGUCUGUUGAGAAAAUGCUCUCAGGAGAAGGGGGGAAGGUAAGCCAGGUGCAGCAGAGGACCGAGCAAGGUUGGGGUCUCAGCUGGACACUUCUUGGACCUGUUCCCACGGGAGCUCUGGAGCACGAACUGUACCACAGAAUUGUCUCACCUAGAGAUGCAGAACAGCAACCCAAGUCCCUUCUGGAAGCAGCCCUCUCCCUCCUGGCAGCUGACAGAAGUCUCUCUGGCCAGGCCGGCCUUUUGGCUGCUCUGCAUAUGGAAGUUCAAUUACUGUCAAUGGGAGGCCCAUCUGCAGGGGAGAAGUUUACUGCUGUUUUCAUGGCUCUGCAUGCUCGGAGAAAGAGGAAGGCCACAGGAAGGUGACAGCUGAGGCAGGGUAUAACAGCAGGUCCCCAGGGUGGGUCAUUCACUGGGCUGACAAUCCAGUUGAUGCUUGCUUGGGUUGGGGCUCUGUGCUAAUUUGGAUGCUGACAGCUUGGUGACAGCAGCAGAGGGAAAGUAAGCUGAGAAGCAGAGAGGGGGAACCUUGAAAUGACGCCCCUAAAUGAUGGUUGACUUGUUUGUGACAUCACACCCCUAAGGCAUAGCUCUUUCCCCUGGGAGGGAUGCUGAGUGGCAAGUAGGCAGGCUGGGUACAUUUCCUUUUGGGAUGUGGUAGCGACAGUGUCCUACAGAGUCAGACUGGUGGCUUUAACAUCACAGGGCUUUGUCCAGCUGGAUCCGGAUAUCCAUUUUUCUAGAUUCCAUUUUCUCUGCUUCUUUUUUUAUUCCAGUAGAUAUAGCAGGCUUUCUCCCUGUAGCCAUGCAGAAGAGAUACAACUCAGAGGUGAUUCCUCUCAAAGGACAUAUCAGAUUCUUGAAGAGAGUCUAACAGGUUUAAGUGGGUCAGAUGCCGUGACUCAACAGCUUCCCCUUGAUCCUUUAAUCUCACAUCUGAAGCAUAAGACCUAUCCAGGUUACUUGGGGCAGCACCACCAUUGUAACAUUAAGGCUUCUCUUUCAGAAGGUUGAAUAAUCCAUCUGCAGCACUAUUUUACAUUCUAGUUCAAUUCAAGACUCUGAAUAUGAUUUAUAAGUAUGAGUGAUUAUUUUCACAUCAACAAGGGUUAAGCCAGGGAAAUUCUGUCCUCUGGUAGGGAGCCUCAAUGACCAGACCACUGUAAAGCCCCAGGAAUGCCAAGAACUCUGAAGAAGAAAGAUUCACCUCUAAGUGAGUUGGAGGAGGCAAAGACAAAAAACAAAAAAUAAACAGUACAGGCCUUAGACUAAGGAGUGUGGGAAUGAGUUUCACCUCCAUUUCCAGCAACUGCCACACAUAGAGUCUCUUCCAAAGAUGCCGGUGGCCUCAAAGAAGAGACAGCUGCCUCCCCAGCCCCUCAUUCGUCACCUGCUUGCUGGCCUAGGACUGAUAAGAUAGAUCCAGAUCAAAUUACCUGGCAGCUGGGAGAGCAAGGAGAUAAGGAAAGGCAAGCUCAGGAGAAGUUCAGUAGAGUAGCAAAGAUCAAAUUGUGUAUUAAAUUUUCCAGGAACUAAAACAUUGCUCCCUCUGCAAACCCAGGGGAGGCACCUCCAAUCAGUAGCACUAAACAGGGUUCCCAGGAGAAAAGCAAUGCCUUCAGCUUCUACUAGGAAUUAAGAAAACAGAGUACUGAGACCAAUUUAUUAUCACGCAGUUGGAUGAUAGGAAAAUGAAAACAAAGCUUACAGGUGAACAUUAUAGAGGGGCUGAGUGGCCAAUGGCCAGAGAAACUUCAGGCAACAGAAAGAACGCUGGGCUGAGCAAAAGACUUGGAUUCUUGUUCUAGCUCCAUCUCUCUCCCUUUGAAAAUGCACUUGAAACCCUCUGGGCUAUUUAUUUAUUUAUUUAUUUAUUUAUAAAAUGGUGCGGUGAGGAUUUCUUCAAGCUAAGAUCUCCCUGGCUUGAAGCUCUUAAAAUUUCUUGUCACCACGGUCUUCCUAAGACGUUCCAUCUGAUGGUUUACUCUUUUGACUCUGCCAUUUUACUCAACUAAACCUCAAAAUUCUUGACUAUGGAAGCCUCCAGAGGUGUUGUUAAAGCUUUAACUCUUUCACUAGAAGCCAUAUGACUUGCUUUAUCCAAUGGGAGGUUAGUAGAUGUGACACAAACAAAUGCUUGAAAGAGUACUUGCAUGUUUCCAUUUACGUUUCUGUUCUUGCCUUCUGUCAUCACCAUGACAACAUGCCCAGCCUGGCUCCUGGAGGAUGGGACACACAACGUGGGAAUAGGCGAGUCACCAGAGUCAUCUCAGCCAAGAUCAACCAAUAGUCAAUUACCAGGAACGUGAGAGAAUUCUGAGACCAGGACUGCUCAGCCACCUCUGCCUAAAAUACCAACACACAGAACAGUAAAGUGAAUGGAUGUUUAUUAUUCUAAGCCACUAUAUUUUGAGAUUGUACCUCAUGCAGCACUAUUGUGACCAUAGGUGACUGAUAUAAAAAGUAAGGAAUUAUGAAUCAUAAGAAAAGAUGAACCAAGGCAAGAAUCAGCUUUGAAGAGGUGGUAAACUUUGGGAGUUGGGUAUGAUUUUCUGCAAUGAUCUUAUUUUCUUUUUUUUUAAAGGAAGGCCUACCUGAAUAAUUCUGUGCAGGAAGAUAAAAGCAAGAUUAGAGUGAGACCAAUUCAGGGAGGUGUCAUUUUGUGAGCAGCUCAUGACUAUACCCAAUAAUCAGGGUCUGUCUACAUAUCUGAAUUUUAAUCCUUACAUAUAUGGCGUUAGAUGAAUUAAAA